UACGUAGGGUGCAAGCGUUGUCCGGAAUUAUUGGGCGUAAAGAGCUCGUAGGCGGUUUGUCGCGUCUGCUGUGAAAACCCGAGGCUCAACCUCGGGCCUGCAGUGGGUACGGGCAGACUAGAGUGCGGUAGGGGAGAUUGGAAUUCCUGGUGUAGCGGUGGAAUGCGCAGAUAUCAGGAGGAACACCAAUGGCGAAGGCAGAUCUCUGGGCCAUUACUGACACUGAGAAGCGAAAGCAUGGGGAGCGAACAGG
rnacentral:rRNA from 1 species